rnacentral:rRNA from 1 species
AAUAUUGGACAAUGGGCGAAAGCCCGAUCCAGCCAUGCCGCGUGUGUGAAGAAGGUCUUCGGAGUGUAAAGCACUCUAAGUUGGGAGGAAGGGCAGUAAGUUAAUACCUUGCUGUUUUGACGUUACCGACAGAAUAAGCACCGCCUAACUUCGUGCCAGCAGCCGCGGCAAUACGAAGGGUGCAAGCGUUAAUCGGAAUUACGGGGCGAAACGGGCGCGUAGGUGGUUUGUUAAGUUGGAAGUGAAAGCCCCGGGAUCAACCUGGGAACUGCUUUCAAAACUGGCAAGCUAGAGUAUGGCAGAGGGUGGUGGAAUUUCCUGUGUAGCGGUGAAAUGCGUAGAUAUAGGAAGGAACACCAGUGGCGAAGGCGACUACCUGGACUGAUACUGACGCUGAGGUGCGAAAGCGUGGGGAGCAAAC